AACGAACGCUGGCGGCAGGCUUAACACAUGCAAGUCGAGCGCCCCGCAAGGGGAGCGGCAGACGGGUGAGUAACGCGUGGGAACGUACCCUUUACUACGGAAUAACUCAGGGAAACUUGUGCUAAUACCGUAUGUGCCCUUCGGGGGAAAGAUUUAUCGGUAAAGGAUCGGCCCGCGUUGGAUUAGCUAGUUGGUGGGGUAAAGGCCUACCAAGGUGACGAUCCAUAGCUGGUCUGAGAGGAUGAUCAGCCACAUUGGGACUGAGACACGGCCCAAACUCCUACGGGAGGCAGCAGUGGGGAAUAUUGGACAAUGGGCGCAAGCCUGAUCCAGCCAUGCCGCGUGUGUGAUGAAGGCCUUAGGGUUGUAAAGCACUUUCACCGGAGAAGAUAAUGACGGUAUCCGGAGAAGAAGCCCCGGCUAACUUCGCGCCAGCCGCCGCGGUAA
rnacentral:rRNA from 1 species